GACUACAGUGGUGGAGUUGAGACAGGUCGGCUGCUGCAACCGCCGUCUGAAAUAGCAAUCCGGAAAAGUCAGGUUGGGAAAGUGACAGAGUAGACGCCCUGCGGCUCUGAUCCGGGCGGCGCCUCAGCUGCCCACACUAUGUGGGCGGCAACGCACAAACUCCUUAACCACGUGGUGCCUCCAUUCCCCUAGGGAGUCCCAUCACA
rnacentral:lncRNA from 1 species